UAUUUUUAUAGUUCUGGCUGAAGGAAAUGACAGAGAAGAACUACCUCUUAAUGCUUCAAAUUUUCUUAUUUCAGAUUAUACAAGUGCAAAUAAGUGAUGAUGAGUUGUAGUGGUAUUCUCCUAAGGGAGUAGAGAAAUUUCAAGAUUAAAAUCUCUCCUUAGGAUUUUUUUCCCGUUUUCCAUUUGUAACACUUGCCAUGAGGUGACAUGAUUCAAUAAUAACUAACUCAGUUAACCCAGUGAAUUCCACACCUGAAGCAUUAGAUGCACUGAACACUUAUGGAUGAUAUAUAGGUAUCGUACUUUCUGAAGCCUCCCUUCUUAUUUUCAAUGAUUUUUUAGUUUCACCAAGUUGGACAUCAAUUUAAAACACAAUGUUGAGUGAGCUCUUUUUCAUUUUAUUUUUCUAAUUGAAGUAGUAGAAAUCACGUACAAGAUAUCCUUUAUUGUGUAAUGUAUCUUUUCUUUUCCUUUUUCAUUCUCUUGUGGAUGUGAAAAUCAUCAUUGGUUGUUUAUAGUCUUAGAAUUUCAUGUAUUUGAUAAUUUUGGGAAAGUAUCGAUUAUACUCGAUGUCAAAAAAAUACAUUUGUUUUGAGGAUCAAAAGAGAGACGAAUCAUGAUAAAAUGAUGGAUAAAUUAGAAUCUAUGUUUUGGAGGAUUUCAACUUUCAACUGGAGUUCACCAUAUAUGGAAGCAUAUAGUUCCUACAUUUACGGGUUUAAGCCUCAGAUGGAAGAUGGCUACUCUGAUUUGCCAUUUUGAGAAGCAGAAAUCUGAAACAUUUUGUGAAUCAAGUAUCAACUCCUGAUUUAUCUACUUCUAUGUUUUGGAAA